CUCAAUAUGCACUUCACCUCCUCCACUUGGGAGACGGGGCAGAGGCGCCACGGGUUGUAGUACUCGUUCUGCUUCAACUCGUCCAGAUCUUGCGGUGUCACGAAUGCUGCUCUGUCCAAGAAUCUGCAAUACAAAUAGAAUAGAGAGUUAGUUUGCAAUAUAUUUCAGUGGAGUUGAGUUAAGGUCAAGGUGUAAUGUAUGACACUCACUUGAUCCCCUGCGUGUGCAGCAUCUUCCUGGCAGCGUUCUUGGAGUCCUCGGCCUCGUAAAGGUUGGCCUCGUCACCCGGUGGGAUCCUGACGCUGCACUUCUUGGAGGCAGCGACCAAGACUUGGGAAAUGCGGGAGAGGGGAUUGCCGCUGGGCUUGAAAUGGCGG
rnacentral:lncRNA from 1 species